UACGUAGGUGGCAAGCGUUAUCCGGAAUUACUGGGCGUAAAGCGCACGCAGGCGGUCUUGUAAGUUUGACGUGAAAGCUCCCGGCUUAACUGGGAGAGGUCGUUGAAUACUGCGAGACUUGAGUUUAGGAGAGGGGUGUAGAAUUCCCGGUGCAGUGGUGGAAUGCGUAGAUAUCGGGGGGAAUACCAGUGGCGAAAGCGGCACCCUAGCCUUUGACUGACGCUCAUGUGCGAAAGCGUGGGGAGCGAACGGG
rnacentral:rRNA from 1 species